rnacentral:misc_RNA from 1 species
AUUUAGACGAGGUCUCCACCAUCAUCACAGCCCUCGACACCGUGAACGAAAUCAUUCCCGAAAAAAAUCUCGUCAUGUGCGUCGUUCGGGGGCUCCCAUCAGCUUACUCCUCGAUUAAACAGGCGGUUCGCAUCAAUCCAACGCCCGUUGACCCGGCUACUCUCUCCUCGUGGCUAAAAAGUGAAGAAAUCAACGUGGAUCUGGAGAGCAA